rnacentral:lncRNA from 1 species
GGGAAACAUGCACAUUUUUCCAUUUGUGUGUGGGCAGAAGGGAAGGCAUCUCACUCGGCGGCUGCGCUGUGUUUGCAGCAAGGCACACCGCAGGGAGCUUGUUCUGGGACUUAUGAAGGAAAUUUGAAAACUAGCCACAAAGCUGAGAUUCCUGGAACAUCAAGACCAGAGCUGCAUCGGCCCAGGCUCAGAGGAAGAGACUACAUCAGCCAGAUCUUCCUGAUCCAACAAUGUGAUUCAAGGACACGGUGGAAGACUUGA